UACGAGAGGCCCAAACGUUAUUCGGAUUUACUGGGCUUAAAGAGUUCGUAGGCGGCGCAGAAAGUAGGGUGUGAAAGCCCUCGGCUCAACCGAGGAAUUGCGCCCUAAACUACUGUGCUUGAGGGACCUAGAGGUGAGCAGAACUGAUGGUGGAGCGGUGAAAUGCGUUGAUAUCAUCAGGAAUACCGGAGGCGAAGGCGGCUCACUGGGGGUCUUCUGACGCUGAGGAACGAAAGCCAGGGGAGCGAACGGG
rnacentral:rRNA from 1 species